rnacentral:rRNA from 1 species
AAAGCAAUGGGGUGACGCAGGAAGGUAACCCAACCCAGGCGAUGGUUGACCUGGGGUAAGGAUGUAGGGCGAGAUGUAGGCAAAUCCGCAUCUCACGUGCCUGAGAUCUGACGCCGAGCCGAUUCAGGUGAAGUGGGUAAUCCUAUGCUGCCAAGAAAAGCCUCUAGCGAGUGUUAAAGCCGCCCGUACCCCAAACCGACACAGGUGGUCAGGUAGAGAAUACUAAGGCGAUCGAGAUAACUAUGGUUAAGGAACUCGGCAAAAUGCCCCCGUAACUUCGGGAGAAGGGGGGCCCGUUCUGGUGAGGAGAUUUACUCUCCGAGCUGGGAUUGGCCGCAGAGACCAGGCCCAAGCGACUGUUUACUAAAAACACAGGUCCAUGCUAAGUCGCAAGACGCUGUAUAUGGACUGACGCCUGCCCGGUGCUGGAACGUUAAGGGGACGGGUUAGCGACUUCGGUCGCGAAGCUCAGAACUUAAGCGCCAGUAAACGGCGGUGGUAACUAUAACCAUCCUAAGGUAGCGAAAUUCCUUGUCGGGUAAGUUCCGACCUGCACGAAUGGCGUAACGACUUGGGCGCUGUCUCAACCGUAGACUCGGCGAAAUUGCACUACGAGUAAAGAUGCUCGUUACGCGCGGCAGGACGGAAAGACCCCGGGACCUUUACUACAGCUUGGUAUUGGUGGUCGAUUCGAUUUGUGUAGGAUAGGUGGGAGACUGUGAACUUCGGACGCCAGUUCGAAGGGAGUCAUCGUUGAAAUACCACUCUGAUCGUAUUGGCUGUCUAACCUAGAUCCGUAAUCCGGAUCAGGGUCAGUGCCUGGUGGGUAGUUUAACUGGGGCGGUUGCCUCCUAAAAUGUAACGGAGGCGCUCAAAGGUUCCCUCAGCCUGGUUGGCAAUCAGGUAUCGAGUGUAAGUGCACAAGGGAGCUUGACUGUGAGACUGACGGGUCGAGCAGGGACGAAAGUCGGAACUAGUGAUCCGGCGCUGGCAAGUGGAAGCGGCGUCGCUCAACGGAUAAAAGGUACCCCGGGGAUAACAGGCUGAUCUUGCCCAAGAGUCCAUAUCGACGGCAUGGUUUGGCACCUCGAUGUCGGCUCGUCGCAUCCUGGGGCUGGAGUAGGUCCCAAGGGUUGGGCUGUUCGCCCAUUAAAGCGGCACGCGAGCUGGGUUUAGAACGUCGUGAGACAGUUCGGUCCCUAUCCGCCGCGCGCGUAAGAGUCUUGAGAAGAUCUGUCCCUAGUACGAGAGGACCGGGAUGGACGAACCUCUGGUGUGUCAGUUGUCCUGCCAAGGGCACUGCUGAUUAGCUACGUUCGGAAGAGAUAACCGCUGAAAGCAUCUAAGCGGGAAACUCGCUUCAAGAUGAGGGCUCUCACAGGGUUAACCUGGUAAGGCCCCCAGUAGACCACUGGGUUGAUAGGCCGGAGGUGGAAGUGCGGUAACGCAUGCAGC